rnacentral:rRNA from 1 species
GAGCGCCUCGCAAGAGGAGCGGGACGGGUGAGUAACGCGUGGAACCCAUCUCUACGGAACAACUCCGGGAAACUGGAGCUAAUACCGUAUACGUCCUUCGGGAGAAAGAUUUAUCGGAGAUGGAUGAGCCCGCGUUGGAUUAGCUAGUUGGUGGGGUAAUGGCCUACCAAGGCGACGAUCCAUAGCUGGUCUGAGAGGAUGAUCAGCCACACUGGGACUGAGACACGGCCCAGACUCCUACGGGAGGCAGCAGUGGGGAAUAUUGGACAAUGGGCGAAAGCCUGAUCCACCAUGCCGCGUGAGUGAUGAAGGCCCUAGGGUUGUAAAGCUCUUUCAACGGUGAAGAUAAUGACGGUAACCGUAAAGAAGCCCCGGCUAACUUCGUGCCAGCAGCCGCGGUAAUACGAAGGGGGCUAGCGUUGUUCGGAAUUACUGGGCGUAAAGCGCACGUAGGCGGAUUGUUAAGUUAGGGGUGAAAUCCCAGGGCUCAACCCUGGAACUGCCUUUAAUACUGGCAAUCUCGAGUCCGAGAGAGGGAGUGGAAUUCCGAGUGUAGAGGUGAAAUUCGUAGAUAUUCGGAGGAACACCAGUGGCGAAGGCGGCUCACUGGCUCGGUACUGACGCUGAGUGCGAAAGCGUGGGGGAGCAAACAGGAU